UUCUUCAAUUUUAAAAAGUAACUGAAUGCAUAAUUUAGUAAUUUACGUUUGCAAUAACUACUUAGAAGAAUAUGUUAACCGAUCCUUUCCCAAAAAAUACAAAACUAACCGCAGAGAAGCAAAGAAUAAAGCGAAAUUGAAGCAUGGAAAUCAUGAUGAUGAAAGAACCGGUAGAGGUUACGGUUACCACUGGGACACUGAGAUAAUUAAGGUCAUAUCAUAUAUUUCUUCUCACCACUACCAACAAAUGAUGAAAGAAAAAGGGGAAGGUUGCGCCAAUGACUUCGUAAGAAAUUUGUGUAUGAAAAGUGAAAGAGAAUUUACAUCCAUGGGCAGGAUCGCAUGUUCCUUGAAAAAAAUUGGGAUGAUAAAAGUGGCAGGAUUAACUUCAGAGAAUUCAUUAACUUUGCUAAACACAAGCGCGACAACAGAAAUUGGGAAAUCAUCCAUUGCAAAGAGAGAGACAGACAUAGAACAAACAUGAGAAGACAAGAAAGAUAGAGAGAUGAUGGGUGUACAGGUUUAGUAGAGAAAGAGUAAUUUUUUGUUUUGUAUUAAUGGUGACACAAGUUAUUUGGGUUAUAACAAGUUUUUGAGAAAGGUGUUGAAGGUAGUGGAUGUUACAAGAUUCUUUCUCAGUAUUUCAUGGUUCAGAUGAAAAAGUAUGCAUUUAAUGGUUUAGAGGAAAAAAAUGUUGUGUUGCGCAAAAGACACCACUGGAUCAUUCAUUCUAUGCACUAGCAUUUAAACGGACAAUCUCCCCUUUUUCUAUUGUGCUAACGUGCAAUGGAGUUUUUCAAAUGGGAGGAUAUGAAUGUGACGUGAUUGCAAAGGUUGAACAAUGUUGAAGGAGUGAAUAUGUUCUUAUUCAUUUUAUUUUAUGUAAGCCAUGCGUUAUGCUAGAGGAAUGAUAUUUGUAUAUGCAUUAUUGUGACAACUUCAUCUUUCUUUUUUAU